rnacentral:rRNA from 1 species
AAUAGAUACCCCAGGUAGUCCACGCCGUAAACGAUGAGUGCUAGGUGUUAGGGGGGUCCAACCCCUUAGUGCUGAAGUUAACACAUUAAGCACUCCGCCUGGGGAGUACGACCGCAAGGUUGAAACUCAAAGGAAUUGACGGGGGCCCGGCACAAGCAGUGGAGCAUGUGGUUUAAUUCGAAGCAACGCGAAGAACCUUACCAGGUCUUGACAUCCUCUGACAACCCUAGAGAUAGGGCGUUCCCCUUCGGGGGGACAGAGUGACAGGUGGUGCAUGGUUGUCGUCAGCUCGUGUCGUGAGAUGUUGGGUUAAGUCCCGCAACGAGCGCAACCCUUGAUGUUAGUUGCCAGCAUUCAGUUGGGCACUCUAACGUGACUGCCGGUGACAAACCGGAGGAAGGUGGGGAUGACGUCAAAUCAUCAUGCCCCUUAUGACCUGGGGCUACACACGUGCUACAAUGGGCGGUACAAAGGGCAGCGAAACCGCGAGGUGAAGCGAAUCCCAUAAAGCCGCUCUCAGUUCGGAUUGCAGGCUGCAAC